rnacentral:rRNA from 1 species
GAUGAACGCUGACAGAAUGCUUAACACAUGCAAGUCAACUGUGGCGGACGGGUGAGUAACGCGUAAAGAACUUGCCUCACAGAUAGGGACAACAUUUGGAAACGAAUGCUAAUACCUGAUACUGUGAGAGAGCUUUGCGUCCCAUUAGCUAGUUGGAGAGGUAACGGCUCACCAAGGCGAGGAUGGGUAGCCGGCCUGAGAGGGUGAUCGGCCACAAGGGGACGCGGGCACGGGCAUUACGCCUACGGGAGGCAGGAGUGGGGAAUUUAGGACGAUGGCCCGAAGUCUGAUGAAGCAAUUCUGUGUGCAAGAUGAAGUUUUCGGAAUGUAAAGUGCUUUUAGUAGGGAAGCGGUACCAACAGAAGAAGUGACGGCUAAAUACGUGCCAGCAGCCGCGGUAAUAC